UAGUCCACUUCAGGUUACUAGCCAGGGUAGCACAAUGGUGUAUGCGGAGGACAACUAGCUUCCGUCCUCCUCUGGGUACAUUUAGCCUACUCAAACACCCGGCUCAAACAGAGGGAUGCUAUGUUAGUUAGCUGGCUAUGACUAUCCAAAACUGGAGCUCUUCUAAGUCAAGAUCAGAUUCAAGCUUCUGGGAAAAAACUACAUCGAUCAUGUAAUGCACGAAGGUCUGCAUAUUCCAACUGCGCAACACAAUGAGAAGCUAAAUCUCCUCCUGUUCCCUGAUUAAGCCAUGAUGGCCCUCUCCACUCCACUACCAGUGUCAACACUCUCCUGACAUGAACUGAAGCCAUGUCUCAUGUGCCCUCUCAUCCACUGGUGCAUUGAAUGUUUCAUCUCCAUGCACUUGGAAGAGUUGAGCUCUUCUCCAACACCAUCCAUCCAUGAUGAGCCUGUCCUGCACUGAAGCCUCUGAACACCUCAACCCCUGUCCUGGACUGAAGUCAAGCCUCCGAACACACCCCAACUCAUACUCUCAUUCAAUCACUGCUGUGAUAUCUUCCUAACACUAAGUAGCCAUCUCAUUGCCCAUAAUAUUUUAAUAUACAUGUCUUUAUUAAAUGUUUUAGGUUAAAA